rnacentral:antisense_RNA from 1 species
AGCCAUGGCGGAUCGUGUGGGGCAGGCUUCGGCCUGGCCGGUUAUAUGCGCAUCAACGGUGCCGGUACUGCGACCCCCGCACGGUCCGCCGCCCUC